rnacentral:piRNA from 1 species
UCUGUGAAGUGACAUGAACAGCUGCUGAC